rnacentral:lncRNA from 12 species
CUCAGUGUUAUUGUGAGGGUCCAAUUCUACAAUUCACAACCCGCUACGGAUUCACAUGGUCUAAACCCAUGGAACGAGGCCUGAGAAACGUGCGGGCAAGAACCAUAGAUCCCACACGCUCUGAUGACCUCAUUUAGGGACAGGCGAGCUUCUGUGUCUGUGUCUCACUCCUAAGUGGCACAAACCCAGAAACUUGUCAUUCUUUUAGGGCUUCCUAAAACACUUCUGCCUGUCUCCCAAAACGGGCAUCCGGGGUGGCCUGAGAAGGUUCUUCUUUGCUUAAAACACACUGCCUGCUAGCCCAAAGGCUUGCGCAGGGGGAGGGGUUGAUAGGCAGCUCAGCGCCCUGUAACAGGCUGCCUGGUGUAUAUGCUAAUGAAAUGGCCAUCUGCGUCAAAUAAUUAUAAGUGGUCUCCCCUGACUGCUCUCCAUGUGCUGGCACAGACCGAGGGGAGGCACCCCCUUUACAGCCACUGCAGCCUGGGGAGGAGAGGCCGGGGAGGAAUCCUGCCUACUCCUCCACUUGAAGGCACACAACCUGCUGAGCGGACAGGUGCUGGCGAUGUGAUGUCCACGGGCAGUGAAGCCAGCCUGUCCUAGGAGCUGACAUCUAUAUCUCCGUCCCGCUGGAUUUUGAAACUGACACGACAGAGGGAAUGUCACUCUCUAUUACUCGCUAUUCACAUGCGUCUCCAUCGCACGGAAGCCCUGUGAGCAAGCGACUCGGGGACAAGCGCCCUCUGCUUCGGCCUGACCUGCUGCACCCGGGCGCUGGGGCACCGGCGCGAGGGACUGACCGUGCCCGGGCUCCUGGCUGCGGGUGCUGCCCACGCUCCGCUGGCAGGUGGACACGAUUAGCCAGUUGGUUUUUGUGUUUGGUGACUCUGGCCAAGUUCAGUGUUUCCUUUGUUAGCUCAAUAUAGUUGGCAUUUAGGCCUGAUAUCUGUAGGCUUCUGAGCAGGACACGGUUUACCCGGGAAGGUUUUAGAUGGUUAGCGUCCCUUUGGAACCCAGACUUGAGCUCGGGGCAAGUGCAACGCGGGUCUGCCCACCCAAGCCGUGUCUCGGUGUCCACGGGCUCCGCCGGCGGCUCGCGGCCUGUUCUUUCUCCUCUGGCACUUUCUGUUGUCCUGAGAAAACCUCUGGCCGGGCAGCUUCAGGCCCGGCUGAGCACAGUAUCAGCCUUUUGGUGCAUCUACUUCAGUUACAGAGGCCCCGGAAAUGCAGAUUAAAGCACUCUCCUGGGAGCAGCACGAUGCACUUCAUUAAUAAGAAGGGAUUAAAGGAAAAAGCCCUCGUCUCCUAA